GGAUAACCCUGAUUUCCAUAUGCAGAUUUAUCUGCACUGACAGCCCCCUCUCCCUCUCUUAGUCUUUCUGUUUCCUCUCUCCCUCCCUCUCUCUCCCUCUUUCUCUUCCCCUCUCUUUCUCUUCCUCUCUGUCUUUUUGUCUCUCUUUAUGUCUAUUGCAUUAUGCUUGAAUAAUUUUCAGCUGGGGUUUUUUUUUUCUCUCCUCUUGCACAUGCUAAAAUAACUAGACAAAGAUGCAAGGUGGUUGCUGCAGUCCCUGUCUCUAGGACAAAACCAAGAAAGCUCGGGUUUGCAAUGCCACCUUUCCUUUUUUUUUUUUUUUCUUUCUUUUUUUUUUCCCCCACCCAUGCUCGGUGAUUAAACUUACCCAGGAUGGGGAAGAAAAAGGAGCUGGAAAUGAGAUAAGGUUAAGGAAAAAGCCCAUUGCAGCAGCUGCAGCCAGUGGUGUCUGCUGCCAGAUGUGCUAAGGUUCCUGGGGUCCUUGACACUAAAAGGCAGUAUUAAAAUAUUUGGAGACAAAAGCUGCAUCUUCAGUGCUCAUUUUCUUUAUUUAACAUGGCAGCAAGCACCGUGUGGGGGAAAAUCAACACGCUGGAUGUUGAAUUGGACUUUUCUCCGUUCUAGGAUGAAAGGAUGUUAUCUAUCCCGUGCCAAGAGGGAACUAAGGUGCAGGGGGAGGGGAAGAAAGUCUUCCAAACUAGCCCGCCAUGGUGAAACGGGUGAAUAUCAGACAGCUCAUUAUAGAGACAAGCAUGCUGCAUUCCCCGAGUAGGAUGACAGAACAAGUCAUGGGAUCUGGGAAACAUCCUGCCUCCCCUAGGCCCAGGGGCCGUGGAAGAGCAGCAUCACCAGUGUCCAUGGGCAGGAUGAACAAACUGGCUGUGCUCCUUGCAGUUGCUCCUACUGCUGAAGAGGAAACUGUAUCUGAGCUUUUUCACUCGCUCUCUGGUCCCUGUGCUGAAGCUGCUUCAAACAGCUGUCUGUGUAUGUGCUCCACAAUUUGGGCACUAUUUUUGGAGUCUUAUGUGCCUUGGAAUGAAAUGUCCCUGUUCUGCUCAGCUCCCAAAGGCAUUCCCAUUGAGAGCAAAAGAGAUGUCACCUGUGGGCCCUCCUGCCUUUUGCUGAGGAAUCAAAGUCAACCACCUCCUGCAACAGCCCAUGGGGCAGGUAUGCCAUCAUUCCCCGUGCACUGUCAGGUACCAGCACCCAACAAAUAUGACUCCAACACAGCCAGAUGACAGGGUCUGCAGAGGUCUUCUGAUCUGAAUGGGAGAGUGCAUUUUACUUCAUCUGUAUGUGCUUGGAGAAUAACACAUCAAAAUUCUUCUUGAAAAGUAUGGCCAAGUUAGGUCUGUCCACGGUUCCCCACUAUGCUCUUUCCAGUGUAUGGAUCAACAUCAAAUGCAUUGUAGUUUUGGCAAAUAAUUUCUCCCACUCUUCCCUUUCUCUUCCCCCUCCCCUCCCAGCUGACACACAGUGACUAUAGGGGGCAAUGCAACCUCAUCAUACAGCCUGUGUACAUCAGCUACAUACCACAUUAAUAGGCGGAAACUUUAAAGUCUUCGUUUUUACUUCUUGCUUUUGAGCAAUUUGUACCAUGGUAAGCUGUAUUGUUAUUUGGGCCCCAUAAAAUGAGACAUUUUAACUUCAGAUAAGCUUUUACCAGUUACAUUUUUUUGAUUGUUUGUAAAUGAAAGUUAAUAAAGAGUGAUUUCAUUUCA
ensembl:lncRNA